CAGCCGCCGCGGGAAUACGAAGGGGGCUAGCGUUGCUCGGAAUUACUGGGCGUAAAGGGAGCGUAGGCGGACAUUUAAGUCAGGGGUGAAAUCCCAGAGCUCAACUCUGGAACUGCCUUUGAUACUGGGUGUCUUGAGUGUGAUAGAGGUAUGUGGAACUCCGAGUGUAGAGGUGAAAUUCGUAGAUAUUCGGAAGAACACCAGUGGCGAAGGCGACAUACUGGAUCAUUACUGACGCUGAGGCUCGAAAGCGUGGGGAGCAAACAGGAUUAGAUACCCCUGUAGUCCCUGUCUCUUAUAC
rnacentral:rRNA from 1 species